rnacentral:lncRNA from 14 species
GCUCAGUGGUGUACAGUGUACACUGAUCUUGUAGAAGACCUGAAUUUGGUUCUCAGCACGUACCUGCACCCGGCACAUCUGUACAAACGUGCACAGACACAGACAUAAAAAAUAGUAAAUGUAGAUUUUUAUUAAAAAUAGUCACAGGGCUGGCGCUGUGCUUUAGUGGCUAGAAUGCUUGCCUAACGUUAAAGAAGUGCUGGGUUUGAGCGCUAGAACUGUUUGUACAGGGUACGGUGGCUCAUACCUGUCAUGUCACUAUGUAGGUCUUGCUAGUAUGCUUACGUUAUAGAUGACAGUCUAGGGCACAGAAAGACUAUGGCCUGUACUUCAUUAUCCACCUGGAGUGGCGGCCCUGGAAUCUGAACCCGGUGUAAAGUGUCCCCAACGCCUGCACGCUCAGCGGCUAGUAAGGAACACCAAGUCAGCAACAACCUUGCAGGCUGAUGAAACGCUCGGGAAGGUUAGGAAGGCUCCUCUCUGCGAGCUUUCCAGGCUCCUCCCGGGGAUCUCGGUGUCCCUGCACCCUCCUUUUCGGCACUCUCCGGGCACCCCCGCCCUGCUCUGCCAAGGCCAAGGUGUCACCUAGCCCUUCCCAGCUUCCGGCCCUUUCCUCCAGGUUGGCUUCGAAGACAGCUCACUCGGAGAAGAUUGGUGCCUCCUCACCACCAGCUGAUUUGAGGGGUGGUCUGGGACCGGUCCUCUUCCUUCUGACUGCUCUUGGAGCUGUAGCUCCAGAACAGCAGCUCUGCCACCUGGUGGUUCUGGGAGCCAAGUGUGCCCUCCUCCAGUCCCGUAGGCAUCAUCACAGUAGUGAGAGGGCUCGCAGGAGUUUGCCGUGAGGAGGCUAGAGGACAAAAUGUGAGAGUUGUUUCUCCUCCUCCAACCCGUGGGGGAGCAAACCCAGUUUGUCAAGCUUGGCAGCAGACACCUCUGCCUAUUGAGCCAGACUGGGGGCCCACUCUGAGGAAAGAAGAGCCAAUCUGGCAGAUGAAACCCAAACCAAAAUAAAACCAAAUAACUCUAGCUGGCUUCUUUCUGUGGCUUAUUUCUGAGCAUUUGUUUCACACGGAUGUAGGAAGACAGUUUUGUUCUUUUUUUUUUUUUUUUUUUUGGUCUUUUUUUCGG